UGGACAGAUCCCAAUGAUCCUUCCGCGGUGACACUUAUCGAAGCCUUGAAUUGCGCCCUCGCAAGAGGGAGACGCCCUGACGACUAUAAACAAGAGGGACACGCAAGUCGGCCUGCGGGCCGGCGACACUUUCGAAUUGCGGGGAUAUCCUUAGAGCUCUGCCUACCAACCCGGGGGGGAAACCCCUCGGGGGCCGGUGUUAACAGCACCGGGUGCGGUAAGAAUGGUCAGAGAUUGGACAAUCCGCAGCCAAGCCCCUACGUCCCGCGGGAUAUGGGGAAGGUUCACAGACUAAGUGGAAGUGGGUGCGGCCGUUCGACCGCGCUUAAGAUAUAGUCGGGCCCCUGGCGAAAGCCAGGGGGUAAGUCACUGCACUUUGAACCGUUCCGUAGGUGAACCUGCGGAAGGAUCAUUA
rnacentral:ncRNA from 1 species